GUCCGAUCACAAAAAGAAUUGUCACAUCAUACAUUUUUUUGCUGUGACAAAAUCCGAUUGCAAAUUCACUCAAUUUGCAUUUUGCAAUAAAAUUUACAAGGUAUUCUAGCAUUUUACUUACAGUAACAUUGCGCCGGAAUGGCUAUACAUACUUGUCUCGUGACAAAUAUAUAUCUUGUGACGUAUAUAUGUGAUAUGUCCGACCAAAUUUAGUGGUGUUGGUUUUUGUCCGACCAAAUUCAAGUUAUGUCCGACCAAAAUUAAAAGUGAUUGGACAAAUGUCC